GUAACACGUGGGUAACCUGCCUCAAAGAGGGGGAUAGCCUCCCGAAAGGGAGAUUAAUACCGCAUAACAUUAUUUUAUGGCAUCAUAGAAUAAUCAAAGGAGCACUCCGCUUUGAGAUGGACCCGCGGCGCAUUAGCUAGUUGGUGAGGUAAGGGCUCACCAAGGCGACGAUGCGUAGCCGACCUGAGAGGGUGAUCGGCCACAUUGGAACUGAGACACGGUCCAGACUCCUACGGGAGGCAGCAGUGGGGAAUAUUGCGCAAUGGGGGAAACCCUGACGCAGCAACGCCGCGUGAGUGAUGAAGGUUUUCGGAUCGUAAAACUCUGUCUUUAGGGACGAUAAUGACGGUACCUAAGGAGGAAGCCACGGCUAACUACGUGCCAGCAGCCGCGGUAAUACGUAGGUGGCAAGCGUUGUCCGGAUUUACUGGGCGUAAAGAGUAUGUAGGUGGGUGCUUAAGUCAGAUGUGAAAUUCCCGGGCUUAACCUGGGCGCUGCAUUUGAAACUGGGC
rnacentral:rRNA from 1 species